rnacentral:rRNA from 1 species
GUCUAUGGCCAUGCCACCCUGAACAGGCCCAAUCUUCUCUGAUCUCGGAAGCUAAGCAGGGUCUGGCCUGGUUAGUACUUGGAUGGGAGACCACCUAGGAAGACCAAGUGCUGUAGGCA